rnacentral:rRNA from 1 species
UAGGGAAUCUUCCACAAUGGGCGAAAGCCUGAUGGAGCAACGCCGCGUGUGUGAUGAAGGGUUUCGGCUCGUAAAACACUGUUGUAAGAGAAGAAUGACAUUGAGAGUAACUGUUCAAUGUGUGACGGUAUCUUACCAGAAAGGAACGGCUAAAUACGUGCCAN